AGCAGCCGCGGUAAUUCCAGCUCCAAUAGCGUAUAUUAAAGUUGUUGCAGUUAAAAAGCUCGUAGUUGAAUUUCGGAAUCAAUAUGUUGGUCGUGCCUUGGUACGUACUGGCAUUAUUGGUUUCUACCUUCUGAAGAACCUCGAUGUCAUUAAUUUGGUGUCUUGGGGAAUCAGGACUGUUACUUUGAAAAAUUAGAGUGUUUAAAGCAAGCUCACGCUUGAAUACAUUAGCAUGGAAUAAUGAAAUAGGACGUUUGAUUCUAUUUUGUUGGUUUCUAGGAUCGACGUAAUGAUUAAUAGGGAUAGUUGGGGGCAUUAGUAUUCAAUUGUCAGAGGUGAAAUUCUUGGAUUUAUUGAAGACUAACUACUGCGAAAGCAUUUGCCAAGGAUGUUUUCAUUAUCAAGAACGAAAGUUAGGGGAUCGAAGACGAUCAGAUACCGUCGUAGUCU
rnacentral:rRNA from 1 species